rnacentral:rRNA from 1 species
AUUGAACGCUGGCGGCAGGCUUAACACAUGCAAGUCGAGCGGGGUGAUGGUGCUUGCACUAUCACUUCGCGGCGGACGGGUGAGUAAUGCUUAGAAAUCUGCCUAUUAGUGGGGGACAACAUCUCGAAAGGGAUGCUAAUACCGCAUACGUCCUACGGGAGAAAGCAGGGGAUCACUUGUGACAUUGCGCUAAUAGACGAGCCUAAGUCGGAUUAGCUAGUUGGUGGGGUAAAGGCCUACCAAGGCGACGAUCUAUAGCGGGUCUGAGAGGAUGAUCCGCCACACUGGGACUGAGACACGGCCCAGACUCCUACGGGAGGCAGCAGUGGGGAAUAUUGGACAAUGGGGGGAACCCUGAUCCAGCCAUGCCGCGUGUGUGAAGAAGGCCUUAUGGUUGUAAAGCACUUUAAGCGAGGAGGAGGCUCUUUUGGUUAAUACCCAAGAUGAGUGGACGUUACUCGCAGAAUAAGCACCGGCUAACUCUGUGCCAGCAGCCGCAGUAA